rnacentral:tRNA from 1 species
UCCCUUGUGGCUCAGUUGGUAAAGAAUCCGCCUGCAAUGCGGGAGACCUGGGUUCAAUCCCAGGUUGGGAA